GAGCUUUUAUUUUGACAAAUCUGACAGGAAGUUGCCUUGUUUUGACUCCGGGCAGCUUGACAGCAGCAGGUUCUUUAAAAACUGACAGAACUAGUUUUCAUUCACAGGAGAAGUUUGACUAAAACUCACUGAAGUGAAUCUGACGAAUCAGUUAGAGUGCCAUGUUGACCUGCAGGAAACAAACAACAAGAGAGAAACUGAGAGAGCUGCAGGUCCAGUUGGUCCGCCUCCGACUUCUCUUGACGACUGACGCUGACGUAGAAGAGAAUCAAAGAAUGGGAGGAAGCCGGAGGACGUGAGGUCAGAGGAAACAGCCAAGCUGCAGCAGGAAACAUGAGGAGAGAGAAGAAUUCAUAUGUUUUAUAUAACAAAUGUCUGAUUUAACUCGCUCUCGUGUAUAACUCAUCUCUCGCAAGUCUGUUUAGAGACGGAUAUUUACUGCCCAGUCAUGAGAUGAACCAGUUAUUAUUUCACACAUUUUCUUUAGUUCAUAUUUUUCACAUUUUAUCCUCUUUAUCUUAACCCAUUUAUGCCUUAUUUUAAAACUCAUAUAAUUUAAAUUUUUUUAUUGUACAUUUCUGUCUCUAUAUUGGAUGUAUUCUUGUCUUUUUAUUGCUUUUAUUAUUUUUUAAAUUACUUGUUUCUUUAAUGUUUUAUAAUUAUUGUAGAUUUUUUAUUUUGUAUCUGUGUCAUAUAUAUUCGUCAUUUCAUUGCU